rnacentral:rRNA from 1 species
AUUGAACGCUGGCGGCAGGCUUAACACAUGCAAGUCGAGCGAGCGGCGGCCGGGUGAGUAAUGUCUGGGACACUGCCUGCUGGAGGGGGAUAACUACUUGAAACGGUAGCUAAUACCGCAUACCAUCAGAUGUCCCCAGAUGGGAUUAGCUAGUAGGUGGGGGAAUGGCUCACCUAGGCGACGAUCCCUAGCUGGUCUGCUAGGAUGAUCAGCAACACUGGAACGGAGACACGGUCCAUACUCCUACGGGAGGCAGCAGUGGGGAAUAGUGGACAAGGGGCGAAAGCCUGAUGCAGCCAUGCCGCGUGUGUGAAGAAGGCCGUCGGGUGGUAAAGCACUUUCAGGGAGGAGGCGUGACUCGCAGAAGAAGCACCGGCUAACUCCGUGCCAGCAGCCGCGGUAAUAC